ncrna:unclassified sequences DTF3800-IX RNA
UCCUGUCUCGCGAAAAGUGGCCUCUUGGCCGCCUGCCCCCUUCCGUUGAAGGACACGGGCUAGCGAGGCAGGUUAUU